CUGUAAAAAUCCAUAAAUUAGCCGCAUCAUUGUUUAAGCCACAGUGUUCAAAGUGUGUGGAAAAAAGUAGCAGCUUACAGUCCGGAAAUUACGGACUCAUGUAUAAAUAAAUGUAGAU